rnacentral:rRNA from 1 species
CCCCUUCCCAUCCCGAACAGGACCGUGAAACGACUCCACGCCGAUGAUAGUGCGGAUUGCCCGUGUGAAAGUAGGUAAUCGUCAGGCUCCUCAUGCCAGAACCCCCGCCCAGCACG